NNUUUGGUGGCGAUAGCGAAGAGGUCACACCCGUUCCCAUACCGAACACGGAAGUUAAGCUCUUCAGCGCCGAUGGUAGUUGGGGUGUUAGCCCCUGCAAGAGUAGGACGUUGCCAGGC
rnacentral:rRNA from 1 species